UACCGAGUGCGGGUCUUUAUGGCCAACCUCCCACCCGUGACUAUUGUACCUUGUUGCUUCGGCGGGCCCGCCAGCGUUGCUGGCCGCCGGGGGGCGACUCGCCCCCGGGCCCGUGCCCGCCGGAGACCCCAACAUGAACCCUGUUCUGAAAGCUUGCAGUCUGAGUGUGAUUCUUUGCAAUCAGUUAAAACUUUCAACAAUGGAUCUCUUGGUUCCGGCAUCGAUGAAGAACGCAGCGAAAUGCGAUAACUAAUGUGAAUUGCAGAAUUCAGUGAAUCAUCGAGUCUUUGAACGCACAUUGCGCCCCCUGGUAUUCCGGGGGGCAUGCCUGUCCGAGCGUCAUUGCUGCCCUCAAGCCCGGCUUGUGUGUUGGGCCCUCGUCCCCCGGCUCCCGGGGGACGGGCCCGAAAGGCAGCGGCGGCACCGCGUCCGGUCCUCGAGCGUAUGGGGCUUCGUCUUCCGCUCCGUAGGCCCGGCCGGCGCCCGCCGACGCAUUUAUUUGCAACUUGUUUUUUUCCAGGUUGACCUCGGAUCAGGUAGGGAUACCCGCUGAACUUAAGCAUAUCAAUAAGCGGAGGAAAAGAAACCAACCGGGAUUGCCUCAGUAACGGCGAGUGAAGCGGCAAGAGCUCAAAUUUGAAAGCUGGCUCCUUCGGGGUCCGCAUUGUAAUUUGCAGAGGAUGCUUCGGGUGCAGCCCCCGUCUAAGUGCCCUGGAACGGGCCGUCAUAGAGGGUGAGAAUCCCGUAUGGGGCGGGGUGUCUGCGUCCGUGUGAAGCUCCUUCGACGAGUCGAGUUGUUUGGGAAUGCAGCUCUAAAUGGGUGGUAAAUUUCAUCUAAAGCUAAAUACUGGCCGGAGACCGAUAGCGCACAAGUAGAGUGAUCGAAAGAUGAAAAGCACUUUGAAAAGAGAGUUAAACAGCACGUGAAAUUGUUGAAAGGGAAGCGCUUGCAACCAGACUCGCUCGCGGGGUUCAGCCGGGCUUCGGCCCGGUGUACUUCCCCGCGGGCGGGCCAGCGUCGGUUUGGGCGGCCGGUCAAAGGCCUCCGGAAUGUAGCGCCCUUCGGGGCGCCUUAUAGCCGGGGGUGCAAUGCGGCCAGCCUGGACCGAGGAACGCGCUUCGGCA
rnacentral:rRNA from 1 species